GCCAGUAUGGUAUAGUGGUCUGAGCACUGGACUAUGACUCUGGAGACUAGGGUUCAAAUCCCAGCUCAGCCA